CGGGCCGCAGCAGUGGGGAAUAUUGGACAAUGGGCGCAAGCCUGAUCCAGCCAUGCCGCGUGAGUGAUGAAGGCCCUAGGGUUGUAAAGCUCUUUCACCGGAGAAGAUAAUGACGGUAUCCGGAGAAGAAGCCCCGGCUAACUUCGUGCCAGCAGCCGCGGUAAUACGAAGGGGGCUAGCGUUGUUCGGAAUUACUGGGCGUAAAGCGCACGUAGGCGGAUAUUUAAGUCAGGGGUGAAAUCCCAGAGCUCAACUCUGGAACUGCCUUUGAUACUGGGUAUCUGGAGUAUGGAAGAGGUGAGUGGAAUUCCGAGUGUAGAGGUGAAAUUCGUAGAUAUUCGGAGGAACACCAGUGGCGAAGGCGGCUCACUGGUCCAUUACUGACGCUGAGGUGCGAAAGCGUGGGGAGCAAACAGGAUUAGAUACCCUUGU
rnacentral:rRNA from 1 species